UACCGAUUUGGGUUCAGCAUUCAGAUAUUUCUGAAUAAUCCAAAACCCCCACAGAUGCAGCAAUGGAAGCUAGCGACUACGACGGUUCAUUCGAUUCCACUACGAACUGGAGAAUCUCCGGCGGCUCUCUCGUUGACUCCAUCACCUUCGAGUCCUCCUUCUCGUCUCCCGCCGGAGACCUCGACGAAUUCGCCGCCGCCGAUUCUGCCGCCAAAUCACCGCUAAUUCUGCUACCUCUCUUACCCAGUUCCGAUCCUUGCGAAAUCACCAUUACUUUUUCUCAAAAGCAUGAAUUAAGACAAGUCUAUGUCCGAAGUACUGCACGGGUAUACGAAAUCUACUGUGCGAAUAGGCCGAAGCAGGGCAAUGAGUACCUGUGUACAGUUCGAUGUGGCCUUGCCACGAGGGGCGAAGAAGUGCUUCAAUCUUCUGUGGUCAAGGCAACUGCUUUGGUGAGUCAUGAUGAACGGAGCAAUGGUUCUGAGGGAAAGAAGGUAAAAGAUAAUGGCAGUGGAGGGAAAAGUGAAGAUGAUUGGGUUGAAGUGAAAGCUUCUGAUGCGUCUCUGCUCAAUAAUGCGAGAAGUCUGCCAGUGAAACCACAAGGAAGAACACAGGAUUUCUUUGAGGCUACUGCAGAGAUCAAUGAUACAGAACCUUGCAUUUCCAUUACACUGCGGUUUCUCUCACUUCAGGAUAAAGGGUGUGUGUGUAUUGACGAAGUGUACAUAUUUGGUGAUCCUGCUGAUCCAACUGAAUCAGAACACGAAGCAAAUGGAGCUGGAAAUUCAGCUGGUAAUUCGCUUAUGGCCAUGUUUAUGCCUACUCUUUUGCAGUUAUCUAGAGCAAAAAGUGUCAACAGAGAGCGAGAUAAACAAACUUCCAAUGAAUAUGAGAGGAAGAGUCAAGAAACUAUGAGAAAUUCAGAUGAUGUGGAUAAGAUUGUGAACGGAAAUCAGCAGGAGUCAACUUUGAGUAAAACUGAUGACCAAAAAGUAAAUCUGCCAACUACCACAGAGCGAGCAGAUCCUGAAAGCUCGCAACAUGUUUCUGGAGCAGAAAUCAAACCCGCUUCAUCAUAUGAUUGUACCAACAUUAUCCUGCAUCAGCUUGUUUACAGGGUAAGCAGGAUAGAAGAUAUCCUUACAAGGUUUGAAGAUCAGCUACUGAAACCUAUAAAUAGUAUUGACUUAAGGCUCCAGCAAGUGGAAAAGAAACUGGAAGAACUAGGCAAGAAAUCAAAUGACUUAGAAGGGUCUGCUGGACCAAAAGUUCUCGAUCCAGGUUUUACAGGUAGUAAUACCGAUAGAAGUCGUGAUAUUGAGUUGGAUGGACAGAUUCAGAAUCAACACUUGGCUUCUUGCUCUAGAAUAGUCGCUCCUGAAUUUUCAUGUGGUGACACCGAUCUUGACUCCUCUUGUACGAGCAAAAGUGAAAAUUAUGAUGUUGCAUUAAAGCAUGAAGAGGAUGAUAUUCAUACAGUUAACUCAUCUGAAAAUAUGGUUGAUCUGCCGAGCGAGAAUCGCUCACAACCCGGAACUGAGAUGAUUGCUACUGAAUCUGAGAUCAGUAAUGAGAAGGAAGUUGACCAUUCCGUCGGGAGAGAAUCUUCUGAGGACAAGCCAAAACGCCCAUUGUCAAUAAAUGAUGCUUUAGCAUCUGCGCUUGCUGGAUUUUUGACUUCAACAUCGACUACAGACAAGAAAUACAGUCAAGCCCUCGUGGUUACAGCACCUGAAUUUUCAAAUGAAGAUGACAGUGAGACUGACAAGAACGCCACGAAUGAUACUCAUCCAGACAAAAGCCCAGUUACAUCAGACUGUCUUGCUAUUACUGAUAAAGCUAUUUGUAUAAACGAUUUGCAAAACAAAGAGCCUACGGUGGUAACUUCCCCUUCUGCACGGAGUGGACCAGGAAUUACUGCGGCAAUGGAAGGUGAUUCUUCUGAGAUGGUUAGUGAAAUUGCCGAAACCUGCAAUCAUAGUGAAGCAGGAAAUCUCGAUGCUGACACAGAGGUUAGAGAUGGUGACUCUGAUUUAGGUGGGGGAGCGGUUGCAGAGACAAUGCCCGAUCGGUAUGCAGAAGGGACUGAGAAAGAGUCAGAAAACCAAGAAACCACAAAAGAUAAGGCGGUUGAUGAGCCCAAGAGUCCAAAUCUAUCUACUGGAUUCCCGAGCUGUGAGCCUAAGAUCGGUGAUGUUCUCCAGAGUGUUCUCGGUUUUCAAUGCACUUCUUCCUCGCUGGAUCUCGAAACUCCCAUUCUCGAUGUGAAGUUCAACUCAGAGCAAACCUCCAACAGCAAAUCUUUCUUUGAAGCCCUUCUCAGUGACUCGCCCGAAUCCACUUCCGAAUCUGUCGUUGGUGUAGAUUGCAUCGACGAAUCAACUCAGGAUAACUUGAUCUCUGUGGACGAUGAAGAGCUAAUAGGUCCCCCGACCGAUACCCUCUCUUCCUUGGACAUAGAUUACUUCCAAACGAGUUGUAUGCAUCUGGACAUGGACGAUGAAACACAAUCUGAAGAUCUCCACAGGUCCGGCAACGAAGAAAUCACCACUUCAAGUCUCAUAUAAGGAACUGUCUCUUCUGCCAUACGAAAGCUUGAAGCUUUUUUGUGCAUAUACCCUUUUGUCCCCAUUGGGUAAUUUGAUCGUUUCUUGUACAGGCUAAGACCCUAAUGCUCGCUUUCUGAUCCGAAGAGAUAGAUACCCUCGAAGGUUUUGUCCUGAGCCUGAGGAGAAGAUGCUCAAACAAGUAGGUUCCAGUCUUUUGGCCGUAAAACAAUGUGAGUUUGGUUUGAUUCGCUCUUCUGUUAAUUGAUUUAUGUGGAUCACAUCGUUUAAAUACUGGCUAUCAUAUAUUAUGAGAAUUGGAGGGUUUUUAGUGGA